GUAUUCUCAUUAGAAUCCAAACUCUUUCGGAAUUGUUGGUUGUAUAUGGAAUUAGAAGAAAAAAAAGUGAAAAUGCUGAAUAGUCUUGUGCAAGCAGCCUCAUCUAUGCCACUGUUUUCCAUGUUUACAGAGUCCAACCUUAAAGCUUAACCAAAUAGGUGUAGGGUCUUAAACAUAACAUUAAAGCAGCACCUAUUCAUUUCAUACCUAUGGAUGCAUGAUCCCUCUCCUCAACAGUUUGUGUGGAGCUGCAUUUCUUUUUCUUUUAAUUUCUCAUUACUUGUUUUCUUCUAAUUUGGCAGCUUGUCCAACCAGCAUAUCAAUCU
rnacentral:misc_RNA from 1 species